GGUCCGAUGGUGUAGUGGUUAUCACAUGAGUUUAACACACUCAAGGUCCCCGGUUCGAGACCGGGUCGGAUCA